GACGAAGGGGGCUAGCGUUGUUCGGAAUUACUGGGCGUAAAGCGAGUGUAGGUGGUUGUCCAAGUUGGAUGUGAAAGCCUUGAGCUCAACUCAAGAAAUGCAUUCAGGACUGGGCGGCUAGAGGACCGGAGAGGAUAGUGGAAUUCCCAGUGUAGUGGUGAAAUACGUAGAGAUUGGGAAGAACACCAGUGGCGAAGGCGGCUCACUGGCCCGAUACUGACGCUGAGGCACGAAAGCGUGGGGAGCAAACAGGGAUUAGA
rnacentral:rRNA from 1 species